rnacentral:rRNA from 1 species
UACGUAGGCAGCGAGCGUUGUUCGGAGUUACUGGGCGUAAAGGGUGUGUAGGCGGUCGUUUAAGUUUGGUGUGAAAUCUCCCGGCUCAACUGGGAGGGUGCGCCGAAUACUGAGCGGCUAGAGUGCGGGAGAGGAGAGUGGAAUUCCUGGUGUAGCGGUGAAAUGCGUAGAUAUCAGGAGGAACACCGGCGGUGUAGACGGCUCUCUGGACCGUAACUGACGCUGAGACACGAAAGCGUGGGUAGCAAACAGG